CUUCCAUUUGAGAUCAUCGAACUCAUUAGAUCCAAUUGCUCUAGUCAAUGAGUUGGUUAGGUUCUCCUUUCAGUCGAUUUUCUUAAAGUUGACUUUAUUUCGAUCUUAUUGAACAAGGUGAUUGCAAUAUAAAAAGUGUUUGAUUCACAGAUGGAACAUCAAUUCUUCAUUUUGAGCUAUGGCUCCAGUACUGCUAUCAAUAUAAAAAGACUAGACCAUCAAUGGAGGAUGUCACCCC
rnacentral:lncRNA from 1 species